GCCCGGGUGGCGGAACUGGCAGACGCGGGGGGCUUAAACCCCCCUUCCCGAGAGGGAGUGUGGGUUCGAACCCCACCCCGGGCACC
rnacentral:tRNA from 2 species